UGCCUAGCAACUCCUAUUCCUACCUCCACGCGGUACCGGCCGGAAACUAUGAGCAACCUUAGGGAAGAUCGGGUAACCAACCCCGGUGGGAACUUUGGUCGUAUGCUGACAGGGG
rnacentral:ribozyme from 1 species